rnacentral:tRNA from 1 species
GGGAAGGUGGCUUAAUGGUAGAGUGCUUGCCUACCAUGCAUGAAGCCCUAGGUUCGAUUCCUCAGUACCA